CCCCUAGUACGAGAGGACCGGGGUGGACGGACCUCUGGUGUGCGAGCUGUUCCGCCAGGAGCAUUGCUCGGUAGCUAUGUCCGGCAGGGAUAAGCGCUGAAGGCAUCUAAGCGCGAAACCCGCCUGAAGAUGAGACCUCCCAGGGCGCAAGCCCUCUGAAGGCCCCUGGUAGAUGACCAGGUUGAUAGGCCGGAGGUGUAAGCGCGGUAACGCGUUGAGCUUACCGGUACUAAUCGGCCGUGCGGCUUGACCAC
rnacentral:rRNA from 1 species